rnacentral:rRNA from 1 species
UACGUAGGGGGCAAGCGUUGUCCGGAUUUACUGGGCGUAAAGAGCGUGUAGGCGGCCAAGCAGGUCCGUUGUGAAAACUGGAGGCUUAACCUCCAGACGUCGACGGAAACCGCGCCGGCUAGAGUCCGGAAGAGGAGAGUGGAAUUCCUGGUGUAGCGGUGAAAUGCGCAGAUAUCAGGAGAACACCAAUGGCGAAGGCAGC